UUGUUGUGGUUAAAAAGCUCGUAGUUGGAUCUCGGCGGACUGAGGGCGGUUUGCUUGCUAGUAUUACUGCCCUAUAGUCCGUAGUUUUGCCAGAGGUUUCGGGGUGCUCUUAAUCGAGUGUCCCGGGAUGCUGGCAGGUUUACUUUGAAAAAAUUAGAGUGCUCAAAGCAGGCUAUUACGCCUGAAUAUUCGUGCAUAGAAUAAUAGAAUAGGAAGUCGUUUCUAUUUUGUUGGUUUUCGGAAAUCGACUUAAUGAUUAAUAGGGACAGUCGGGGGCAUUUGUAUUCAAACGACAGAGGUGAAAUUCUUGGACCGUUUGAAGACAAACUACUGCGAAAGCAUUUGCCAAGAAUGUUUUCAUUAAUCAAGAACGAAAGUUAAAGGUUCGAAGGCGAUUAGAUACCGCCCUAGUUUUAACCAUAAACGAUGCCAGCUAGCGAUCUGCGGACGUUUUUUUUGUAGAUUCCGCAGGAAGCAUCCGGGAAACCAAAGCAUUUGGGUUCCAGGGGGAAGUAUGGUUGC
rnacentral:rRNA from 1 species